UGGACAUCUGUGGAUGAAGACACACAAUUCUGAGCAGAUCUGAGACUGAACUCCAUCAACAGGAAACAUGAAGACAUAAAGUGACCAGUCCUGUACUUACGGCUUGUAAGCGCUGCUCCUCUCGUCUCGUCUCAAGCACAAUCUUCAUGUGUUCUUCCUCAGGAUCCGUUAUGAUACAGCGGUGGAGCGUUGCAUUAACAGAGCAAGAGGUUGUGGGUUCAGUUCCCAGGAAACACACGGAGACAUCUGUGGACGUUUGGAUUCAUCUAAAUCCUCUUUGAUAGAUGAUGAUGAUGCAGCAGUCGGUCAGAAGACGGCGUGGUGAUCAUACGGUCUUAAAUCUGGAACCAAAGGAUGACGAGGGUGUCACAUUUACACCCAGAACCGUCACAGAGAUGCAUCGGAUCUCGAGUGUGUUCUCAGGACAGAACUAACAGCUGCUGGAUUACAGGAGGACGAGACAUUAAAAGCACUUCACUCACACUAGCUGCUGUUAUGAAGCGCUGACAUACAGGGUUACACAGAGAAGAUGCUUUAUUUAAAGUGAUACACAUACACUCGCUUGCUUUAUAGAAUAUUAAGAAACUGUAUCUUCAUCUGUGCAUCUCACAAUGAAAUGUCUACAGUAUAUUUAAUCCCAAAACCAAAGAAAAAAAUAUAAAUAUACAGUAUUGGAAAUUAAGCCUGUUUAAGAAACAUUCUUACUUUAGAUUUUUGGCAUUAUUUUCAUCAGUCUAAGCAUACUUCCAUCGAAAAGUUCAGUUACUGUAAUUUGUGUUUUUCUGUUUUUAUUUUCAGCUGUGAAUUUAAUAACUGUUUUACAGUAAUAUCUCAGGAAAGCAGCUGGAACUCACAGUCAUGAAUGUUUUGGAUAACUAUAAUUUUAUAACUAUAAUGAAUAAUCAGGUUAUCUUAUAUGAUGUAUCUAAAAAAAAAAUUAAUAAUAUAUAUAUAUGUAAAAUAUUAUAUA